ACUCCUACGGGAGGCAGCAGUGGGGAAUAUUGCACAAUGGGCGCAAGCCUGAUGCAGCCAUGCCGCGUGUAUGAAGAAGGCCUUCGGGUUGUAAAGUACUUUCAGCAGUGAGGAAGGUGGGUAUGUUAAUAGCAUACUCAUUUGACGUUAGCUGCAGAAGAAGCACCGGCUAACUCCGUGCCAGCAGCCGCGGUAAUACGGAGGGUGCGAGCGUUAAUCGGAAUUACUGGGCGUAAAGCGCAUGCAGGUGGUUUGUUAAGUCAGAUGUGAAAGCCCGGGGCUCAACCUCGGAAUUGCAUUUGAAACUGGCAAACUAGAGUACUGUAGAGGGGGGUAGAAUUUCAGGUGUAGCGGUGAAAUGCGUAGAGAUCUGAAGGAAUACCGGUGGCGAAGGCGGCCCCCUGGACAGAUACUGACACUCAGAUGCGAAAGAGUGGGGAGCAAACAGGAUUAGAUACCCUGGUAGCGUAG
rnacentral:rRNA from 1 species